CAAAUUAAAAUAAAAAUUUAUUUACAAUAAAUUAAGAGUUAAAAUUUAUGACUUAAUUUGA
rnacentral:tRNA from 1 species